rnacentral:rRNA from 1 species
GUCUAUGACUAUACCACCCUGAAUGUGCCUGAUCUCAUCUGAUCUGGGAAGCUAAGCAGGGUCGGGCCUGGUUAGUACUUAGAUGGACAACAAAUAUGACCACAUUACUGCAGAAGUAGAAU